rnacentral:rRNA from 1 species
CAGUCGCCACGGGAAUACGGAGGGAGCUAGCGUUGUUCGGAAUUACUGGGCGUAAAGCGCGCGUAGGCGGUUACUCAAGUCAGAGGUGAAAGCCCGGGGCUCAACCCCGGAACUGCCUUUGAAACUAGGUGACUAGAAUCUUGGAGAGGUCAGUGGAAUUCCGAGUGUAGAGGUGAAAUUUGUAGAUAUUCGGAAGAACACCAGUGGCGAAGGCGACUGACUGGACAAGUAUUGACGCUGAGGUGCGAAAGCGUGGGGAGCAAACAGGAUUAGAUACCCCCGUAGUCCCUGUCUCUUAUAC